GACGAACGCUGGCGGCGUGCUUAACACAUGCAAGUCGAACGGUAAGGCCCUUUCGGUGGUUCACGAGUGGCGGACGGGUGAGUAACACUUAGGUGAUCUUCCCUUCACUUUGGGAUAAGCCUGGGUAACUGGGUCUAAUACCGGUUCGGACUACGCGAUGCAUGUCGUGUGGUGGAAAGCUUUUGCGGUGUGGGAUGGGCCCGCGGUCUAUCAGCUUGUUGGUUGGGCGAUGUGCUACCAAGGCGACGACCGGUAGCCGGCCUGGGAGGGUGUCCGGCCACACGGGGACUGAGAGACGGCCCAGACUCCUACGGGAGGCAGCAGGGGGGAAUAUUGCACAAUGGGCGCAAGCCUGAUGCAGCGACGCCGCGUGGGGGAUGACGGCCUUCGGGUUGUAAACCCCUUUCAGCACAGACGAAGCGUAAGUGACGGUAUGUGCAGAAGAAGCACCGGCCAACUACGUG
rnacentral:rRNA from 1 species